UGAUUUGAAUUUUGGCACACACAGCACC
rnacentral:piRNA from 1 species